rnacentral:rRNA from 1 species
UACGGAGGAUCCAAGCGUUAUCCGGAAUCAUUGGGUUUAAAGGGUCCGUAGGCGGACCAUUAAGUCAGGGGUGAAAGUCUGCAGCUCAACUGUAGAAUUGCCUUUGAUACUGGUGGUCUUGAGUUAUAGUGAAGUGGCCGGAAUAUGUAGUGUAGCGGUGAAAUGCAUAGAUAUUACAUAGAAUACCAAUUGCGAAGGCAGAUUACUAAUAAUGUACUGACACUGAUGGACGAAAGCGUGGGGAGCGAACAGG